rnacentral:rRNA from 1 species
CAAUCACUUGUCUUUUAAAUNAAGACCCGUAUNAAUGGCAUAACGAGGGCUUAACUGUCUCCUUUUUCUAGUCAAUNAAAUUGAUCUCCCCGUGCAGAAGCNGGGAUACAACCAUAAGACGAGAAGACCCUGUGGAGCUUUAGACAACAGGGCAGACCAUGUUAACAUAAUCUGAUUAAAGAACAAAACCAAUUGGACCCUACCCCCAUGUCUUUGGUUGGGGCGACCGCGGGGGAACAAAAAGCCCCCAUGUGGAGUGAGAGUACUUCUCCCACAACCAAGAGCGACAGCUCUAAGUAACAGAAUUUCUGACCAUCAAGAUCCGGCCAAGCCGAUCAACGAAACGAGUUACCCCAGGGAUAACAGCGCAAUCCUCUUUANGAGCCCA